rnacentral:rRNA from 1 species
UACGAAGGGUGCAAGCGUUAAUCGGAAUUACUGGGCGUAAAGGGCUCGUAGGUGGCCAACUAAGUCAGACGUGAAAUCCCUCGGCUUAACCGGGGAACUGCGUCUGAUACUGGAUGGCUUGAGUUUGGGAGAGGGACGCGGAAUUCCAGGUGUAGCGGUGAAAUGCGUAGAUAUCUGGAGGAACACCGGUGGCGAAGGCGGCGUCCUGGACCAACACUGACACUGAGGAGCGAAAGCCAGGGGAGCAAACGGG